CCUAUAUGGUGGUUCGCUAUCGUGUAGCUAGUGAUGUCAUACUUCCAAGAAAAGCUCAUACAUCUUUAUAAUUUAAUUCCCUGUACCUGAAACCGACACAGGUAGGUUGGUAGAGAAUACCAAGGGGCGCGAGAGAACUCUCUCUAAGGAACUCGGCAAACUGGCCCCGUAACUUCGGAAGAAGGGGCGCCCAAAAUUCAUUUUUUGGGUCGCAGUGACCCGGCUCAGGCGACUGUUUACCAAAAACACAGGUCUCCGCAAAGUCGUAAGACAAUAUAUGGGGGCUGACGCCUGCCCAGUGCCGGAAGGUUAAGGAAGUUGGUUAUUUCGUAAGAAAAAAGCUGACGACCGAAGCCCCGGUGAACGGCGGUCGUAACAAUAACGAUCCUAAGGUAGCGAAAUUCAUUGUCGAGUAAGUUUCGACCUGCACGAAAGGCGUAACGAUCUGAGCGCUGUCUCAGAGAGAGGCUCGGUGAAAUAGACUUGUCCCGUGAAGAUGCGGACUACCUACACCUGGACAGAAAGACCCUAUGAAGCUUGACUGUAUCUUGGAAUUGGGUUUGGGCUUUUCUUGCGCAGCCUAGGUGGGAGGCUAUGAAGAUUACCUUCCGGGGUAAUUAGAGCCGUCAUUGAGAGACCACUCUGGGAGAGCUAGAAUCCUAAUGGGGUUCCUUGAAUCAGGACCCUUGACAGUUUCAGGUGGGCAGUUUAUUUGGGGCGAAUGCCUCCUAAAAGGUAACGGAGGCGUGCAAAGGUUCCCUCAGUCUGGACGGAAAUCAGACAUUGAGUGUAAAGGCAAAAGGGAGCUUGACUGCAAGACCUACAAGUCGAGCAGGGGCGAAAGCCGGCCUUAGUGAUCCGACGGUGCCGUGUGGAAGGGCCGUCGCUCAACGGAUAAAAGUUACUCUAAGGAUAACAGGCUGAUCUUCCCCAAGAGUUCACAUCGACGGGAAGGUUUGGCACCUCGAUGUCGGCUCAUCACAUCCUCGGUCUGUAGUAGGUCCGAAGGGUUGGGCUGUUCGCCCAUUAAAGUGGUACGUGAGCUGGGUUCAAAACGUCGUGAGACAGUUUGGUCCAUAUCCGGUGUAGGCGCUAGAGCAUUGAGAGUAGCCUUUCAUAGUACGAGAGGACCUGAAAGGACGUGCCAAUUGUGUACCAGUUCUUGCUCCAGCAGGAAACGCUGGGUAGCUACGCACGGAUAGAUAACCGCUGAAAGCAUCUAAGUGGGAAGCUAAACUCAAGAUGAGUGCUCUCUAAGGCCACAGCUAGACAAGCUGAUUGAUAGGUAUCAGGUGUACAGUCAGCAAUGGCUUCAGCCGAGAUAUACUAAAGGCCGUUUGAUUUU
rnacentral:rRNA from 1 species